UACGAAGGGGGCUAGCGUUGUUCGGAAUUACUGGGCGUAAAGCGCAUGUAGGCGGAUAUUUAAGUCAGGGGUGAAAUCCCGCAGCCCAACUGCGGAACUGCCUUUGAUACUGGGUAUCUUGAGUAUGGAAGAGGUGAGUGGAAUUCCGAGUGUAGAGGUGAAAUUCGUAGAUAUUCGGAGGAACACCAGUGGCGAAGGCGGCUCACUGGUCCAUUACUGACGCUGAGGUGCGAAAGCGUGGGGAGCAAACAGG
rnacentral:rRNA from 1 species